rnacentral:rRNA from 1 species
GUUGCCAGCAUUCAGUUGGGCACUCUAGAGGGACUGCCGGUGUCAAACCGGAGGAAGGUGGGGAGUGACGUCAAGUCCUCAUGGCCUUUAUGUCUAGGGCUACACACGUACUACAAUGGCCGGUACAAAGGGCAGCCACUCAGCGAUGAGGCGCUAAUCCCAUAAAGCCGGUCUCAGUCCGGAUCGCAGUCUGCAACUCGACUGCGUGAAGUUGGAAUCGCUAGUAAUCGUAGAUCAGCAUGCUACGGUGAAUACGUUCCCGGGCCUU